rnacentral:tRNA from 1 species
GGGAUUGUAGUUCAAUCGGUCAGAGCACCGCCUGUCAAGCGAAGCUGCGGGUUCGAGCCCGUCAGUCCGA